rnacentral:rRNA from 1 species
GGGGAUAACACUUGGAAACAGGUGCUAAUACCGCAUAACCAUAGUUACCACAUGGUAGCUAUGUAAAAGGUGGCUAUGCUACCGCUUUUGGAUGGGCCCGCGGCGCAUUAGCUAGUUGGUGGGGUAAAGGCUUACCAAGGCAAUGAUGCGUAGCCGAACUGAGAGGUUGAUCGGCCACAUUGGGACUGAGACACGGCCCAAACUCCUACGGGAGGCAGCAGUAGGGAAUCUUCCACAAUGGGCGAAAGCCUGAUGGAGCAACGCCGCGUGGGUGAAGAAGGUCUUCGGAUCGUAAAACCCUGUUGUUAGAGAAGAAAGUGCGUGAGAGUAACUGUUCACGUUUCGACGGUAUCUAACCAGAAAGCCACGGCUAACUACGUGCCAGCAGCCGCGGUAAUACGUAGGUGGCAAGCGUUAUCCGGAUUUAUUGGGCGUAAAGGGAACGCAGGCGGUCUUUUAAGUCUGAUGUGAAAGCCUUCGGCUUAACCGGAGUAGUGCAUUGGAAACUGGGAGACUUGAGUGCAGAAGAGGAGAGUGGAACUCCAUGUGUAGCGGUGAAAUGCGUAGAUAUAUGGAAGAACACCAGUGGCGAAAGCGGCUCUCUGGUCUGUAACUGACGCUGAGGUUCGAAAGCGUGGGUAGCAAACAGGAUUAGAUACCCUGGUAGUCCACGCCGUAAACG